GGCGUGGUUCCCGAGCGGCCAAAGGGAGCAGACUGUAAAUCUGCCGGUGUAUACCUUCGAAGGUUCGAAUCCUUCCCGCGCCACCA
rnacentral:tRNA from 2 species